rnacentral:rRNA from 1 species
AUGCCCCACUCAAACCCUGGAGGACAGAUAUCACCUACAGUAUUUUUUAAGUGUACCUUCAGUGCAAGGGUAUGGAAUUAUCUUCAGAUCCAGUGGACUGCUGGUCUAAACCCAAGAGAGUGUAUCCUUCACGCCAAAAGAAGCUUUGGAUACCCUUUUUUCCAUGAGGUUGCUUUUCUGGCUGCCUGGAACAUUUGGCUUAUUCGUAAUGGAAGGAUCUUCAGUCAUGAGAGGCCUUCUUUUAGGGGAUGGAAGGAAAGGUUCAUACAUGAUGUGACAAGACCAGCUUUGUUAAGCUAG